UACGUAGGGUGCGAGCGUUAAUCGGAAUUACUGGGCGUAAAGCGUGCGCAGGCGGUGAUGUAAGACAGGUGUGAAAUCCCCGGGCUUAACCUGGGAACUGCAUUUGUGACUGCAUCGCUGGAGUGCGGCAGAGGGGGGAUGGAAUUCCGCGUGUAGCAGUGAAAUGCGUAGAUAUGCGGAGGAACACCGAUGGCGAAGGCAAUCCCCUGGGCCUGCACUGACGCUCAUGCACGAAAGCGUGGGGAGCAAACAGG
rnacentral:rRNA from 1 species